AAGUCGUAACAAGGUUUCCGUAGGUGAACCUGCGGAGCAAUCCCUAGUAAAUCAUUGUUGAACAGAGUUGAUUUAGGGACCUCUGUACGGAAGGACUGCGGUUUGCGUGCAAUUGAGUGGUAGCGCAGUGCCUUUUAGACGGUUAUCGUGUGGAAGGGACGAUAACGUUACCGUGUGUCAGUGACGGUAACUUGUCAAGGAGGUGGCUCCUAAACACCUUUGCUAGAGGUCCACACGACCUCCAGGCCGAAAGGUCCCUAACCACCCAUCGCAAGAAUUUAGCGUGCACCUAACGGUCGUACGGAUCCCCAAACUGAACAACUGUUAACAAUGGAUAUCUUGGUUCUCGC
rnacentral:misc_RNA from 1 species